UACGUAGGGUGCAAGCGUUGUCCGGAAUUAUUGGGCGUAAAGAGCUCGUAGGCGGCUUGUCGCGUCGACCGUGAAAACUUGGGGCUCAACCCCAAGCCUGCGGUCGAUACGGGCAGGCUCGAGUUCGGUAGGGGAGACUGGAAUUCCUGGUGUAGCGGUGAAAUGCGCAGAUAUCAGGAGGAACACCGGUGGCGAAGGCGGCAUCCUGGACCGGCAUUGACGCUGAGGCGCGAAAGCCAGGGGAGCAAACGGG
rnacentral:rRNA from 1 species